rnacentral:rRNA from 1 species
GACAGAGGGUGCAAACGUUAUUCGGAAUUACUGGGCGUAAAGCGCGUGUAGGCGGCCCUGCAAGUCGGAUGUGAAAUCCCACGGCUCAACCGUGGAAGUGCAUUCGAAACUGCAGGGCUAGAGUCCUGGAGAGGAAGGUGGAAUGCUUGGUGUAGAGGUGAAAUUCGUAGAUAUCAAGCGGAACACCGGUGGCGGAAGGCGGCCUUCUGGACAGUGACGUGACGCUGAGACGCGAAAGCGUGGGGAAGCGAAC